GUUUUGCUUGCUUGUCCCAGGUACGUGUAGCAAAGGGCUUGGAUAUAGAAGUGGAUUUUCACAUUAGAGGUGGGGAGGAGCAGGGAAGACGGCGCAGCAGAAUGCCCGGACGAGGAGCAGAGUGAGGGAGACCAUCUAGAAGGCUGCUGCCCAAGGACAUGGUAUGGAGACAGGCUUUUCAGCAAAACAGUGCUGGUGCUCACUGGCAAUGAAUCACAGGUGGAGUGCUGAUUUUUGAGCAAAGAGCCUGAAUUGGGACAAAGUGCUGCACAAAAGGGCCUGGCCCAAGGCUACGCAGCUGGUGGAUGGAGCAAUCAGGGCUUGCGGGCAGCCUCACAGGCAAGCUUUCCUUCUGUGGUGUGGAGAUGCCUCGGGCCUCUGACAACGUAGCUGGUAUAGCCUGAAGAGAGCUGCUGGAAGCCCCAAGCCCCAGAAAGACAAAAAAUCAAGCAAAACACACUGAUUGUGAGUGCCAAUCACCUAGGCUGUGUGAUAACACAGAUAGCAGCUGGGUUGAAGUUGGCCUUCCAGAGAUCUGUGGCAGUGUGAAACGAAAGUCAAAUUAAUAGUGCUAAUAAUAUGGUCAGGGAAGGCCUAAGCAACUUGAAGGUGAAGUAUAUGAAAGGUUACCAAGAGUUGCAGCAACUUUUACACAUUGCUUUAUAUUUGUGCAAUGCUUUCCAGUUCUGAAAACACUCUGACAUGGACAAUUAUUUCCUCACAAUAGUUCUUUGAAGUAAAUAGGUAGACAAGGGUUGAAUUUUGUACCCCACCAAAUUCGUAUGUAUGUUCAAGAUCUAACUCCCAGUACUUCGAAAUGUGACUGUAUUUGGAGACAGGGCCUUUGAAAAGAUGAAUAAAUGAAAAUGAGGCCCUCACAAGUGGGUCCUAAUUCAGUCUGACUGGUUCCUACAAGAAGAGGAAAUUAGGACCCACAAAGAGAGGCACUGGGGCACAAACACAUAGAGGAAAGACCAGGUGAGGACACAGCAAGAAA